rnacentral:rRNA from 1 species
CACGGGGGGAGCAAGCGUUGUUCGGAAUCACUGGGCGUAAAGGGUGUGUAGGCGGUCAGGUAAGUGGGACGUGAAAUCCCUCGGCUCACCCGAGGACCUGCGUCCCAUACUGCUUGGCUUGAGUAUGGGAGAGGAUGAGGGAAUUCCUGGUGUAGCGGUGAAAUGCGUAGAUAUCAGGAGGAACACCGGUGGCGAAGGCGCUCAUCUGGCCCAAUACUGACGCUGAGGCGCGAAAGCUAGGGGAGCAAACGGG